CUCGUCAAAUGACACUAGAUUAGUGUACUACAUUUUCUGUAGACUAUUACAACCUAGGUAUACCAGCUAUUACAAUAUUACAGUCAAAUAGAACAGACAACUCUUUGCUGAGUAGCACUUCACGGCUUCACGCUUUUCUUCACGUCUUCGCACUUCCAACUUUCUUAGGCCUGGAGCUCCUGUAAAAGAGGAACCGAUUAAAGAAGUUACGCGCAGCUAUAUUUGCUACAGAUCAGCUAUCAACUCGAUAUUUAUGUACACCAUACAGAAAUUGUUUCCAGUUAGAAGUUCACUUGAUACUCAACUCCUUUAUUUGUGUCCAUUUAGUGCAAGUCCAUUAUCCAUGCAUAUAAACUUUUGCUCCCAGCCAGCACCUACCCAACUGAGUACAAGUCAGGAGGCCACUACUAUUAAACCAACUCAAGUGAGAGAGCCAGCAAACUAGGUGGGAUAUUUCCUUAUCACUAAAAUUAAAAAUUUGAGCACACCAAAAAUUGAUUGUGUGUCAUAAGAUGAUCCUGAGAGUGCAGCACCAUGUUACCAUCUCUAAAGCUCAUUAGCCAGCAGCAAAAAUUGUGUAACAUAUGUAUAACCAUUGCAAACAACCUUAGCAGAAUAAGUAGAACAAAAUUUCAUGUAAAAUCUUGGUAUAACCAGUAGAUUAUCCCCUAAUAGAAGCUAAUUAGGCUCCAAUACAGAAGGCAUAGCAAGCACAGACUAAAUAAGCCACGACCAUGAAACAGAGCAUGGUAUUAUAGCAGCUCAGAAAUGGAGCUAGAGGUAGGAGAAGGACUCACCGGAGAGGAGGUUGUAGUCGAAGCCGCACACAGGCACCGCCACCACCGUCACCCUCUAGAGGAGACGCUGCCGCUUCAUCGACAGACUCAUCUGGUACAAGGAGAUCAUCAAAAUGCAUCACACUCAUGAUCAUCAAAACGCAGCAGCAGGAGCAAAUACAAGUUUAGCCCACCAUGAACAGGG
rnacentral:lncRNA from 1 species